rnacentral:rRNA from 1 species
UACGUAAUUUUAAAGUUUAUGAUUUUGAAAGAAUUGUCUUAAAGUUAAGUAAAAGAGAAAGAUAUUAUAAUUAAUAAAUAUCCGAAGGGGUAGCAAGAAAUAAAUAAAAGAAGGGUUUAUCCCGUACUUUUUGUAUCAUGGUCUUAGAAGGGUAAUACCUUUAUGGUUUUUCCUGAAAGGUUGGGAUCUACUUAAUUUAGUGUCUUUAUUGUUAUAUAACUAAAGUGUGAGAGUUAAGUAGUAAUGAUAUGUUGUCGCACAACCUGAUAUCUGGUUGUUGGGAAAAAAUGUUUAGCAUUGGUUUAAGAAUUGAAGAGUAUGAAAUUUAUUCAUAUUUCUUUUUACUUUUACUCAGGCCCUUUCGGUUAAGCGGUAGGGCAGCUAUGAACUUAUUUAAGGAGAAGAAGGGUUUAUAUUUCCUAUCUUUGAAGUUUUUUAUAAACUAACCUUUAAGUAUUUGAAUAAAUUUUAUACCCAACUAAUAAUGUUAACAAAACGUUUUUAAUUAGCUUAGAAUUAGUAGAUUUUAUAAAUUAUUAGUUUUUAUCUUAUAAUUUAACUAGCUUAUGUUGUUGAUAAAGUAAUUUUUUUUGAGGAACUCGGCAAAUAUACCCUGCGCCUGUUUACCAAAAACAUCUCCCCCCGCAGAUUGGAAUUGGGGGUAGUCCCUGCCCAGUGGUAAAUGUCUAAACGGAAAGGAUAAUUUUUAAAGUAGCGUAAUAAUUUGUCCCUUAAUUAGGGUCUGAAUGAAUGGGUUGACGUGGGGUGGCUGUCUUAAAAGAAGUUUAUUUAAAUUUCCUUCUUAGUGAAAAGCCUGAGAUAAGCUUAAAAGACGAGAAGACCCCGUCGAGCUUAAGAGGAAAAAUAGUAAUUACUUUUUUUUUCAGUUUUAUUGGGGCAAUAAAGGAGAAGAAUAAACCUCCAGUUUUUGUUAUUGAUCCAUCUGUUGAUGAUAAUAAGAAAAAGUUACCGCGGGGAUAACAGCGCAAGACGACCAGAGAGUUCUUAUCUAAGGCCGUAAGUGCGACCUCGAUGUUGGAUUAGGGUAGACUUAAGGGUGCAGCAGCUCUUAAAGUGGGACUGUUCGUCCUUUAAAUCCCUACAUGAUCUGAGUUAAAACCGGCGUGAGCUAGGUUGGUUUCUAUCUUUAAAUUAAUUUUCUCUUUGUACGAAAGGAUCGGAGGUAUAAAUACAAUUUGUUUUUAGAGAAAUCUAAUU